AAAUCACAAUAGCAGUAGUUAACCAACCAAUUCCUAAUCUACAUAUUAUCGGUAUUUAUCGCUCAGAGACAAAGGUAAAAAUGGCAAACUUCAUUGAUGCACUUAAUCAUCUUUAUAAUAUAAAAUUGACAAAUCCUGAAGUUCCCACAAUUCUUCUUGGUGAUUUCAACGUUGAUUUAUUGAAAACACACCAGGAAAGGAAAAACUUGUACAAUGCUUGAUAAGAGAGAAAGGCUACACACAGUUAAUAAAUCAGUAAACUACUGACUAUCAUACACUAAUAGAUCAUAUUUAUACCAAUGUGCCACAUCUUGUACGAUCAUCAGGUGUUCUUGAAUCCUACUAUAGUGACCACAAACCCAUCUAUAUUUCGCUUGAAGCUGCUGAAUAAUCUCAAUACUGUAAUAUGGUCUUAAAAAUAAUUACAAUAAUUUUCAUUAAACAAUUGUAAAAAUAGUAAAAAAAAACAAUAAUAUUGUAGUGACAAAAAUAUAACUAUUUUGGGUUGCCUCCCCACAGUAGCAUGCCUGGUACAUGAAUUAGGGUUGAGUCUGAGUCUGGCUCCUGGAGUUUUAUUCUACCUCAUCACCUUGGAUGUAAAGUUCCAAAGAUUCUUAUUGAGAUAGCAAUAGAAUCAAGACGUACAUAGACAAGCAUGAGACAAGUAUGAGUCUCCAACCUGGCUCCUGGAGUUUUAUUCUAUCUAAUCACCUUGGAUGUAAAGUUCCAAAGAUUCUUAUUGAGAUAGCAAUAGAAUCAAAAUGUA